GACGAACGCUGGCGGCAUGCCUAAUACAUGCAAGUCGAACGCUGAAGCACCCUGCUUGCAGAGUGCGGAUGAGUGGCGAACGGGUGAGUAACACGUGGGGAAUCUGCCUAUAAGUGGGGGAUAACAUUCGGAAACGGAUGCUAAUACCGCAUAUAUUCUUGGACCGCCUGGUCCUUGAAAGAAAGACGGCUUUGCUGUCGCUUAUAGAUGAUCCCGCGGCGUAUUAGCUAGUUGGUGGGGUAAAGGCCUACCAAGACAAUGAUACGUAGCCGACCUGAGAGGGUGAUCGGCCACACUGGGACUGAGACACGGCCCAGACUCCUACGGGAGGCAGCAGUAGGGAAUCUUCCGCAAUGGGCGAAAGCCUGAUGGAGCAAUGCCGCGUGAAUGAAGAAGGUCUUCGGAUCGUAAAGUUCUGUUAUUAGAGAAGAACAAGUCAAGGAAUAACUGUCUUGACUUUGACGGUACCUAACCAGAAAGUCACGGCUAACUACGUG
rnacentral:rRNA from 1 species